UACGUAGGGCCCAAGCGUUGUUCGGAUUUACUGGGCGUAAAGGGCGCGUAGGCGGCGCGGUACGUCACUUGUGAAAUCUCUGAGCUUAACUCAGAACGGCCAAGUGAUACUGCAGUGCUAGAGUGUGGAAGGGGCAAUCGGAAUUCUUGGUGUAGCGGUGAAAUGCGUAGAUAUCAAGAGGAACACCUGAGGUGAAGACGGGUUGCUGGGCCAACACUGACGCUGAGGCACGAAAGCCAGGGGAGCAAACGGG
rnacentral:rRNA from 1 species